GCUGCUGAAUGGAUCAGUCUUUAAAUGGGUUGCACUGUGUGAGCAGUGAAUGCAAAGAAUGCACAACUUUUGAGCUUUGAGUGGUCCCAUGUGAACGCUCAUCAGUUGCUGCUGCAGCUUUGCUGACAGAAUUGUUGCAGUGUGCAGAAUGGGAGAGUCAGCAAUGCCUGGACCUUGAUUAUGAGAAGACCUCCCCCUGCUACUUAAAACCUCCCUUCCAAACACUGGAGGGGAGGGGAAACACAUGGUGGAGCUGAUAUAUUAAUACUCAUACAAUAGCACCAAUUGCCUGCAGGAAUAAAAAAGACCAAAACCCCAAACCUGAACAUCUAACUUGAGAACAAAAUUAAUUUUAAAAUGUAGGUCAUAUGCUAAUACAGCUCCCAACGUAACCUGUAUAGCACCAGCAAGCACAACAUAGGAGUGUGCUGUCUCUUUGUUUUCUUGCUUGCUGUUUUUUGCCACUUUCUGUGCAAAUGCAAUUAAUUCAGCCAUCAGACUCACUGGCCGCAUAAGUGAUACGAUUCAUUCUCUCAUCUAAAGUUUGCUGAUGAUUUGAGUGCUGUUGUGAUUGGAGGACUGUUCUUCAUUGCUGAUGAAUAAGGAGACAAAAGGAAGCUUUCCUCUUACGAUCAUGCUUCCCCACGGGCAGGCUUUGUUACAGGGGACUUUUGCUGUUGUCACAGCAGUUAGAUGGUCUGAGUGAACUGGUGAGCCCCAUCAGCCAAAGGGUCUUUGAAGCCAACUGGAAAAAAUGGUGCCAGUACCUUUGUCUGCGCUGGAAGAAUUCUUCUGGUGGCCUGUGAUGCCUUCCUGCUGGUCUGGAGAGAAGGAUGUCCUAGGAGCAGGCUUUGGGCCGAGUGAAUUGGCAGCAUAUGUGCUGCAGACUGUGUUCUGAGCAGUCCUGUUUGAAUGCAUCAGGACAGAUCGCUGUGGAGGCCAAAAGAGUGGAUUUGGACAAUGAUUCAGCUCUGAUAGGAUGGUUUUUCUACCGCUGUUGGAGCUGAAUAUUUGCACAGUUCAGACCUUUGCAAAGUUCAGGGUACUUAAAUGCGGGCUGUGACAGAUUCAGAGCUGCACAGUAACAACUUAUGAAUACCAUAUGCUGACUUGGAUUAUUGGACUGUUUACUGUAUAAUGAUAUUGUUUAAUUUAAUACAGAGGGAUGGAAAGAAAUAAGCGAGAAAGAAAGAUGCAAGAUAAGCUACUUCUCAAAGCAUGAGAAAUAAGGUGCAUUGCUACAACAAGAAAGAGGCAGAGCUCAUCAAGAGAUAAGCAGUACCAUUUUAAAAAAGCAAAAUGUCUUUAAGACAGGGUGAUGGUUGGCUGCAUGAAUCCCUAGAACACCUACCUGGCAAGAGGCUGAAUGUGUCUGAAGAAAGCAAGCUUGACUAUAUUGUCAUCUGCUGGAAGCAAGGAUAUAGGCAUGUGGCACACAUAUAAGUUCUCACCUGCAGAGCUGAGUGAGGUGUAUGUGUACAUAUUAAAAUAUCAGUGACACCAAUUAGUAUCCUAAGUGUUCCUCUUUUUUGUUUCAGUCGUUUUGAAACAAAACUUUUAAGGAGUUGUAUUUUCUUCUAAGACCACUUUAAAUAUAUUUAAAUAAAUUCUUGUAUCAAAAAGCUUUAAAAAUUUCAAGUCAAGAAAGGCAUUGUUUCAGGCCUGUACAUCUUGCUUUUUCUGCCUCAGCUUUUCACUUCAGUAAAGAAAAUAAGGGGAUUUAUGAAGAUAAAGGUCUUUUUUUUUUUUCUUAGUUUUUGGAACUUCUAGUAAAUGAUAAGAAAAUCAGUCCACACAGCUCUGUUUAUAGCUGGCUCAGUAAUUUAAAAUCUCCCUCACCAGAAAGCUGCCUCCCCACUGCAUGUAUGCAAACACAAUUUAAGAAGGCUCUCUGGUCAUUAGAGUGUUAGAGUCUGACUCUCUGAUGGAAGAGCUGGACACUGGACCUGGUAAAUGAGAGCAAGGGCUUCAUUGAGUACUUCUAUCCAGCACAGCAAGUGCAUCAGAAUAGCAAGUGUGUUGCUUGCAGGCAGCACUGGAUUGCAAGCUGCAUGGGUACUUCAUGUCUUAGCAGCCCAGCAGCUCUACAGAUGUAGCAGUUUGGUCCCUGCUGUGCACAUGAAGUGCUGGAUUUCUUGGCAGACCUGUACUGCAGCCCACAUUGAUCUCCAUAUCUUUGGAUCUGGUGUUGUUUGCUAUCACUACUGUUUUCUAUCAUG
rnacentral:lncRNA from 7 species